UACGUAGGCAGCGAGCGUUGUUCGGAAUCACUGGGCGUAAAGGGCGCGUAGGCGGCCUGGUAAGUAGGGGGUGAAAUCCUGCGGCUUAACCGCAGGGCUGCCUUCUAAACUGUCAGGCUUGAGCACGGUAGAGGCAGAUGGAAUUCCCGGUGUAGCGGUGGAAUGCGUAGAGAUCGGGAAGAACAUCAGUGGCGAAGGCGGUCUGCUGGGCCGUUGCUGACGCUGAGGCGCGACAGCGUGGGGAGCAAACAGG
rnacentral:rRNA from 1 species